UUCUUCUUCUUCUUUUCUUUCCUCUUUUUGGUCAUGAUGAAGAAGGCUAUAUUACUCUUGUUGAUGGGUAGUUGCUUUAGGGGUUAUUGAUACUUAGGGAGUGUUUGGUUUACCUGUUGAGUGCAGCUGAUAGCUAAUAGACACCUAAACAGGCAAAUUAUAGUUUUUGGCAAGCUUAAAAAUAUAGAGCUGAUAGUUGAUGGGCAACUGAUAUGAUACCCAUAA
rnacentral:misc_RNA from 1 species